CGGCCGAUGAUGGUGAUGAUGGUGACGGUGCUGGGCCUGAUGCUGGUGGUGGUGGUAGUGGUGCUGAUGCUGCUGCUGGUGGUAGUGGUCGUGCUCGUAGUGUUCGUUUCACAUGGGAGACUCAGUUCACACAUGCUACUCAGGACACCGACCAUGGAGCACCGCAAUCGCAGAGGAGAACAGGUGGACCAACGGACUAUGAUAGUCCACAGCACUCUUCUUCCUCCUACAGCGAUUCGAGGCACUCUUUUCACUAUCCCAUUCCUGACAUCAGCAUGCAGCCACCGACGAGAUGGGUGUACGAAUGGGAAGACCCCCAUUUUUACACUAUGUUAGUUCAGGAAUGGCAGACAACAUCGGCGUGGACGGGCCAAACUUGGCAACACUACAAGGCUGAGCUGCUUAGAGUGCGAGGUAUCGCUUUGAUGUCCAACGCCGAAUACCAAACCGCGUCCCAAAUGGGGGUCUUCCCAUUUCUACGUUGAACUUUCGUUUCAUGUGUCUAGGUGUAUGACUCUGUAUUUGUAUGCACGCUUAUUACUAUUGUAUUUGUAUGUAUGAUUAUAACUUGUUGCUUUGGUAUGGUCAUUUACAUUAAAAUGUGCA